AGUCAGACAGAACUGAGGAGCCUUUUGGAGGAGAGGUGGAACGUUUUCAAGAAUCUUCAAGCAAGUCCAGUUGCCCGUUUCUACCACCCACAGUUCACCAUGACCUGGAUGACUGAGAAUCUUCACAGACAAACCCGGAAGUGCUGAUGCGACCCAGAGCCCUACCUUCCAUGUGCCGAGUCCCAGCAGAGGCAUGUCGCCUCCGGAGCUCAGCUUCACCGAACCGGCCAUUCCGGACAGGAUCCGCUUUUCUCCUCCGGGAUUAGGAAAUGUCACAACCGGAACCGGCUAAAGGAAAUGACGCCAGGCCACGUCACUGACGCGUCACUCGCUCUCACAGAAGUGCCUGCUGCUUGUAGUGUCAAGCGAUUGGGACGUGAUCUUACCCAGCUGUCUGCUGUACUCCCUGCUGUAAUAGAAGAACAGCUCCUGCUCAGGGAGAAUCUCUCUGGACGUACAGAAGAACAGCUUCCCGUUAUCGAUAUACGCCACCAGAUUCUGCUCCUCCGUCGUCCUGCAAAAAAUAAAUAAGAACUGAAAAUAACCCAAAAGCAUCUGGGACUGAGAUUAUACUGAAAGACUUGUGAUCAUGAGUUGGGGCGUGUCUUUCUCAGUCCAGUCGGAGAGCUCAACGCUGCUGCAGUGCUGUCCAACCAUCGGACCGAAGCAGGUCCUGCUGGGAAUCGUCUCCCGCGCAAACACACCUGAAGAGAUUACACAGUAAAUAUCUCCACUGACCGUUGGGCUCAUCAGCCACAGACACGCGGAGGCACAGCGGGCGGGGCAAAGAGAGGCGGGCUCUGCUCUGGAUGGGCGUGUCUGGGAUGAAGGUCACAGGCCCAUGUUCGGGACAGUCAGAGCUACGGUGAACGCGGUGCUCAGGCCCUCCUUGUUUGUGGCAGCGUUCUCCAGCUGCAGCGUGGAGUUGACCAGGACGAGGCUGUUAUCUGGGCCGAGCGAGACCUCGGCGGUGAUCGGGGACACGUUUACGGGCUCCAGGCCCAUGCCUGAGCUGUGCAGUGAGACAGGUUCGAGCUGAGUCUGCGGUGCCAUGGCCCCGGUGAGCACCACACUGACCACGCCAGAGUUCAGCUCACCGUUAGUGUGUAGCGCUUCAGUUCCUGAGCUGCUCCCUACACGUGCACUCAUGUGCUCCUGCUCCAUCACCACGGGCAGCUCCAGUCCAGGGCCGUGCAGGGCCAUGACGCCACCCUCCAGGCUCUCAUGGGGUUGAGUCCUGCCUCCGAGAGGCUGCUGCGCAUCUGCGCUCACUACCACUCCGUCCAUGGUGGCCAGCUCUUCGCCCAUCCCGUCAGGAGACAUGGGGCUGUUCACGCGCGACUCCAUCGCCAGCCCAGUGGCGUCCAGCUGCACCUCAUGAGCGCCGCCCUGGUGGAGGUCGGACUGCCGCGAGUCGAUGGAUACCAGGCCUUGUUCUAAAUGUCCACCUGGGCCGCUGUACGGGUCGAGGGAUGAAGGGUUGUUGUUUGGCACCGACAAACUGGUGUCCAUGUUCAGGCUGCUGGGGUGGAUGUACUGCGGCGGGGGACGGUCGGCCAAAUACGACAAAAUACCUACGGGGGGCAGAUAUAAAAAUGGCUUGAGCGCUGUAACCUGGAGUGGUGAUGGGGUUGUGGCUGUGAGUGGGUGAGGUAGAAAGGCCCAGAUGACUGGCACUGACGGAGGGCACACUGAGCUGGUCCAUGCCCACCGGGCUGAGGUUCAUGUCGUUCAUUCUGAGCAGAAACCAGAAUAAAUCUCAAACACGGAGUACAAAGACAAAAUAUUAAAAUGUUGAACUUUGGAUGUUGAAAUGUUAUUGUGUGACAACUGGAAGCUCAUUUAGAAUUGGCUGCGACUCCUGAUCAUGAUAAAUGUGUGUCCUCCUGUGACGUCAGGGCAUCACACAACUGCUAAUAAAUACUAACUCAAUAUAAAA